UCGAGCGAACAGACGAGGAGCUUGCUCCUCUGACGUUAGCGGCGGACGGGUGAGUAACACGUGGAUAACCUACCUAUAAGACUGGGAUAACUUCGGGAAACCGGAGCUAAUACCGGAUAACAUGUUGAACCGCAUGGUUCAACAGUGAAAGACGGUCUUGCUGUCACUUAUAGAUGGAUCCGCGCCGCAUUAGCUAGUUGGUAAGGUAACGGCUUACCAAGGCAACGAUGCGUAGCCGACCUGAGAGGGUGAUCGGCCACACUGGAACUGAGACACGGUCCAGACUCCUACGGGAGGCAGCAGUAGGGAAUCUUCCGCAAUGGGCGAAAGCCUGACGGAGCAACGCCGCGUGAGUGAAGAAGGUCUUCGGAUCGUAAAACUCUGUUAUUAGGGAAGAACAAAUGUGUAAGUAACUAUGCACGUCUUGACGGUACCUAAUCAGAAAGCCACGGCUAACUACGUGCCAGCAGCCGCGGUAAUACGUAGGUGGCAAGCGUUAUCCGGAAUUAUUGGGCGUAAAGCGCGCGUAGGCGGUUUUUUAAGUCUGAUGUGAAAGCCCACGGCUCAACCGUGGAGGGUCAUUGGAAACUGGAAAACUUGAGUGCAGAAGAGGAAAGUGGAAUUCCAUGUGUAGCGGUGAAAUGCGCAGAGAUAUGGAGGAACACCAGUGGCGAAGGCGACUUUCUGGUCUGUAACUGACGCUGAUGUGCGAAAGCGUGGGGAUCAAACAGGAUUAGAUACCCUGGUAGUCCACGCCGUAAACGAUGAGUGCUAAGUGUUAGGGGGUUUCCGCCCCUUAGUGCUGCAGCUAACGCAUUAAGCACUCCGCCUGGGGAGUACGACCGCAAGGUUGAAACUCAAAGGAAUUGACGGGGACCCGCACAAGCGGUGGAGCAUGUGGUUUAAUUUCGAAGCAACGCGAAGACCCUUACCAAAUCUUGACAUCCUCUGACCCCUCUAGAGAUAGAGUUUUUCCCCUUCGGGGACAGAGUGACAGGUGGUGCAUGCUUGUCGUCAGCUCGUGUCGUGAGAUGUUGGUUAGUCCCGCAACGAGC
rnacentral:rRNA from 1 species